rnacentral:rRNA from 1 species
UCAUACGCUCGUCUCAAAGAUUAAGCCAUGCAUGUGUAAGUCUAAAUAGUUUUAGUGUGAAACUGCGAAUGGCUCAUUAUAUCAGUUAUAGUUUAUUUGGAAUAGUUUCUAUAUGGAUAACCGUAGUAAUUCUAGGGCUAAUACAUGUGUUUUCUUUGAUGGGCAACCAUUAAAGAAGUACUUAUUAGACAUAAAACCAAUUUAAUGUUGUUGUGAGUAAUAAUAAUUGUUGACUUUAUCGCAUGCUUGUUAGUAGCGAUGUUCCUUUCAAGUUUCUGCCCUAUCAGCUUUCGAUGGUAGUGUAUUGGACUACCAUGGCAGUAACGGGUAACGAAGAA